CGCAUCUUGCGCUCUCUGGUAUUCCGGAGAGCAUGUCUGUUUGAGUGUCAUGAAUUCUUCAACCCAAUCUUUUCUUAGUAAUCGAUUGGUGUUUGGAUUCUGAGCGCUGCUGGCUUCGGCCUAGCUCGUUCGUAAUACAUCAGCAUCCCUAAUACAAGUUUGGAUUGACUUGGCGUAAUAGACUAUUCGCUAAGGAUUCAGUGGCAACACUGAGCCAACUUUAUCAAGGAAGCUUCUAAUUGAAAAGUCUACCUUUAGAUUAGAUCUCAAAUCAGGCAGGAUUACCCGCUGAACUUAA
rnacentral:misc_RNA from 1 species